rnacentral:rRNA from 1 species
AGAGUUUGAUUCUGGCUCAGGACGAACGCUGGCGGCGUGCUUAACACAUGCAAGUCGAGCGGUAAGGCCCUUUCGGGGGUACACGAGCGGCGAACGGGUGAGUAACACGUGGGUGACCUGCCCUCAGCUCUGGGAUAAGCCUGGGAAACCGGGUCUAAUACCGGAUAUGACUCCAUGACGCAUGUUGUGGGGUGGAAAGCCUUGUGCGGCUGAGGAUGGGCCCGCGGCCUAUCAGCUUGUUGGUGGGGUGAUGGCCUACCAAGGCGACGACGGGUAGCCGGCCUGAGAGGGCGACCGGCCACACUGGGACUGAGACACGGCCCAGACUCCUACGGGAGGCAGCAGUGGGGAAUCUUGCGCAAUGGGCGAAAGCCUGACGCAGCGACGCCGCGUGAGGGAUGACGGCCUUCGGGUUGUAAACCUCUUUCAGCUCCGACGAAGCGAGAGUGACGGUAGGAGCAGAAGAAGCACCGGCCAACUACGUGCCAGCAGCCGCGGUAAU